rnacentral:rRNA from 1 species
ACUCCUACGGGAGGCAGCAGUGGGGAAUAUUGGACAAUGGGGGAAACCCUGAUCCAGCCAUGCCGCGUGUGUGAAGAAGGCCUUCGGGUUGUAAAGCACUUUCAGUGGGGAGGAAAGGUUGUUGGUUAAUACCUAACAGCUGUGACGUUACCCACAGAAGAAGCACCGGCUAACUCCGUGCCAGCAGCCGCGGUAAUACGGAGGGUGCAAGCGUUAAUCGGAAUUACUGGGCGUAAAGCGUGCGCAGGCGGUCUGUUAAGCGAGAUGUGAAAGCCCCGGGCUCAACCUGGGAACUGCAUUUCGAACUGGCAGACUAGAGUCUUGUAGAGGGGGUAGGAAUUCCAAUGGU